GUUAACGUAGCAGAACAUGGCCAUGCAAAAGACCUAAGCCCUUUGAACUGGGGGUUCAAAUCCCCCCGCUAACU
rnacentral:tRNA from 2 species